rnacentral:ncRNA from 1 species
GUGCUGUAUGAAAAGACAGAAGGUUAGCACUCCCAUUGGCAAGGAUGGAAGAGGUGCUUGGGCCUUAUAACAUGCAUAUGGUUAAGGCACUGGAACCUACUUUGUUGCAUUGGACUAUAGUAUUGG